rnacentral:misc_RNA from 1 species
GGAAGUAAAAGUCUAACAAGGGCUCCGUAGGUGAACCUGCGGAGGGAUCAUUACAGAGUUCGUGCCCUCACGGGUAGAUCUCCCACCCUGUGUUAUUAUACCUUUGUUGCUUUGGCGGGCCGCCCUCGGCUACCGGCCCCGGCUGGUAUGCGCCCGCCAGAGGACCCCAAACUCUGAAUGUUAGUGUCGUCUGAGUACUAUACAAUAGUUAAAACUUUCAACAACGGAUCUCUUGGUUCUG